rnacentral:rRNA from 1 species
AUUGAACGCUGGCGGCAGGCCUAACACAUGCAAGUCGAACGAGUGGCGGACGGGUGAGUAAUGUCUGGGGAACUGCCUGAUGGAGGGGGAUAACUACUGGAAACGGUAGCUAAUACCGCAUACCAUCGGAUGUGCCCAUAUGGGAUUAGCUCGUAGGUGGGGUAACGGCUCACCUAGGCGACGAUCCCUAGCUGGUCUGAGAGGAUGACCAGCCACACUGGAACUGAGAAACGGCCCAGACUCCUACGGUAGGAAGCAGUGGGGAAUAUUGCACAAGGGGCGCAAGCCUGAUGCAGCCAUGCCGCGUGUAUGAAGAAGGCCUUAGGGUUGUAAAGUACUUUCAGCGGGGAGGCGUUACCCGCAGAAGAAGCACCGGCUAACUCCGUGCCAGCAGCCGCGGUAAUAC